CAGAAACCUUCGAAAAGGUCAAUGAUGGACUGGAGCAUAAACUCACUGGAUGGGAUUCUACUUCUGGCAGUUCUCUUUAAGAAUGGUGCAAGAGAAUAGUAGGAUCAGACAUUUGCUUCCUGGGAAGCAGCUUGUCAGUUCAUGAGUGCCAACGAAUUUAUGAAGAGCAGAAAAGGGGUGGGCAAUGAGAAAGGAAAUUGCAAGGAUUUAGGCUGUUCCAGUUUCAGUGGCAAAGAUGUAUGCCAAUCACAAAACUGUUCUUCACUCACUGGGUUAAGAAUUGGACGCGUCACUUUCCAACACUCUCGAACAGCUUUACCCAAUGAAAGAAAGCCUUUCAUGGAGAUCCGAGGUGCUUUGCAUGCCAUUGAGAAAAUAGCAUGCUCUGUCAAGUAUAAGGAGCCUGUACUGUUCUUUGGGGAAACAGGUACGGGAAAGACUACUCUCGUCCAGAAUCUUGCUUUCAGGCUUUGUCAGAAGCUCACAGUUUCGAAUUUGAGUCAACAAAGUGAUGUUCCUGACUUUUUUUUUGGUGUUUCGGGCAAAUGCCAAUUACAUGGUUUUGCUUGCAAAAGCAUUUGAGUGAUAAAGUAUGGGAUGCAGAACGCUGUUAAGUGUUGCUGAAAGGCCAUGGAGGAUGUACAAGCCUUUUGACCCAGUAAAAAGCGGGAAAAAACGUUUCGAUGAGGUAUAUAUUAGUCAAGGCAUAAGAAAAUUUUUCCAUGAAAUUUGAAAUAGCAAUUGGGCAGGCAGGAGCGCCAUCGGGAAUGGGAAUGGAUUCUGCUAGAUGAGGUGAAUCUUGCUUCAGAUGAGACUCUGCAGCGAAUAGGGUGGGAGCUUGGAGGAGAAGGAUCUCUCUCUUUAGCUGAGGGGAUGUUACCUUUUAUUAGGAGGCACUCAAAUUAUUGCAUGUAUGCCAGCAUGAAUCCCGCUGCAGAUGCUGGCAAGCGGGACCUACCUCAAUCAAUCGGCUGCAGAUUUAGAGUUCAUUAGUGCCUUGUGACAUGAUGAUCUGAGCCUCUUUAAUCCGCCCACUGUUUCCGUUGGAAGAAAAAUGCUAUCUCAAGUUUACUGAAACCGUUUUGUGGAAAUCCAUAUCGAUGAAAACCUUGAAGAAGGGCUGGCCAAUAUGCUAGAGAAUAGGUGCAAGAUAAGUGAAAGCUACGGAAAAGAGAUGGUUUUUAAGUCAUGAAGGAUUUGCAGUUUCAAAGGCAGCGUUGCGCUAAUCAUUUAAGGGAGUCUGCGAACUAGAGGGGCAGUUCCUUAUCGACAAAGCAUCAAUGGAUGAUCUCACUAAAGAGGGGGUACUAUCUUUUAGCUGAAAGGUUGCAAGACGAGAGCGAAAAGACGGCGCUCUGGGAACUUCUUGAGACACAAUUCCACCUGAUCCUUAAUGUUGAUAACUUGUACAAGUGGGUAAAAAUUCUAAUAUUUCUGUUCUUUUAGGCAUCUAGCUUGAGGUGAAGAUGAACAAAUACAUUUAUAAUUCAAACUUUUUAAUUGCAGAUUUGAUGCAAUGCUAUCUGCAUGCAUAGAAUCUCAAUAAAUCCUCCAAACAACAAACGUGAAUUUACUUGGAUAUUCAUCGACA